UACGUAGGGGGCGAGCGUUGUCCGGAUUUAUUGGGCGUAAAGAGCGUGUAGGCGGCCUUACAGGUCAGCUGUGAAAACUCGAGGCUUAACCUCGAGAUGUCAUCGGAAACCAUUUGGCUAGAGUCCGGAAGAGGAGAGUGGAAUUCCUGGUGUAGCGGUGAAAUGCGCAGAUAUCAAGAAGAACACCAAUGGCGAAAGCAGCUCUCUGGGACGGUACUGACGCUGAGACGCGAAAGCGUGGGGGAGCGAACAGG
rnacentral:rRNA from 1 species